AAAGUUAGUCAUUUUGGCUAAGAUCAAGUGUAGUAUCUGUUCUUAUCAGUUUAAUAUCUGAUAUGUGGGUCAUCGGCCUGCUUGAUAUUAACUCAAUAUUUUGAGGGAGGAAACCUGACAAUAUAGCUUGCUAUAUGGGUUUCCAUGAGUUACCCAUGCUUCGCACUACUGCACGGGCUGGCUCAACCUAC